GAAAGACAACCUCGCCAUUCGCGCCAACUACCGCGGGAUCAGCCUUCUAAGCAUAGGUUACAAGGUCAUAUCGAGCAUAUUGUGUGAAAGGCUGAAACUCACCAACCAAGCAACUG